GAUAGAGGCCUACCAUGGUUUUAACGGGUAACGGGGAAUUAGGGUUCGAUUCCGGAGAGGGAGCCUGAGAAACGGCUACCACAUCCAAGGAAGGCAGCAGGCGCGCAAAUUACCCAAUCCCGACACGGGGAGGUAGUGACAAUAAAUAACAAUACGGGGCUCAUUUGGGUCUCGUAAUUGGAAUGAGUACAAUUUAAAUCUCUUAACGAGGAACAAUUGGAGGGCAAGUCUGGUGCCAGCAGCCGCGGUAAUUCCAGCUCCAAUAGCGUAUAUUAAAGUUGUUGCAGUUAAAAAGCUCGUAGUUGAACUUCGGGGUUCACCCAUUGGUCAGGCUUAAUUGUCUGUACUGGUGAGAUGAGUCUCUACCUUCUGAGGAACUUUCAUGCCAUUUAUUUGGUGUGAUUGGAAAUCAGGACUGUUACUUUGAAAAAAUUAGAGUGUUUAAAGCAGGCUAACGUCUGAAUACAUUAGCAUGGAAUAAUGAAAUAGGACGGAUUGAUUCUAUUUCGUUGGUUUCUAGGGUCACCGUAAUGAUUAAUAGGGAUAGUUGGGGGCAUUAGUAUUCAAUUGUCAGAGGUGAAAUUCUUGGAUUUAUUGAAGACUAACUACUGCGAAAGCAUUUGCCAAGGAUGUUUUCAUUAAUCAAGAACGAAAGUUAGGGGAUCGAAGACGAUCAGAUACCGUCGUA
rnacentral:rRNA from 1 species